AGCAUCCUUGGGAUUCUGUGAUCAGUCAGAUGGUGAAUGGAGACAAUGGUCACAACUCUCCCCACAGAAGGUGGUGUGAGGCCAUCACAGAAGAUGCUAAUGCUUCUGCUGCUUCUGGGGCCAGGUAUGAGCUUCCUCCUACCUGGGAGCUUGGCAGGCUCUGGGCUUGGCGCUGUCGUCUCUCAACAUCCAAGCAGGGUUAUCUGUAAGACUGGAACCUCUGUGAAGAUCGAGUGCCGUGCCCUGGACUUUCAGGCCACAACUAUGUUUUGGUAUCACCAGUCGCAGAAACAGGGCCUCAUGCUGAUGGCAACUUCCAAUGAGGGCUCCAAGGCCACAUAUGAGCAAGGCUUCUCAGAGGACAACUUUCCCAUCAGCCAUCCAAACCUGACCUUCUCAUCUCUGACAGUGGCCAGUGCCCAUCCUGAAGACAGCAGCUUCUACCUCUGCAGUGGUAGAGACACAGCGCCAGGAGGGGAUGAGAGCGCACGGCAAGAACCCCUGCAGCAGCCCUCCUCCCCAACAGGCCUGCUGAGUGCUGAGAAGGGAGGCGUGGAGGAUGGAAAACCACAGCUUUCUUGA